rnacentral:lncRNA from 1 species
UCUGGGAAUCUCGCCGUUGUGGCUUUGCUGGUUGUGGCUUGCUAGUUGCAGAUCUGGAAAAUCCGAGAUUUGGGUUUGGGUUUGUGAUGGAGAUGUUGAAAGGGUUUGGGUUUUUUCUUCUUCUUUUGGGAUGAAGGGAAAUACAAUCUGGGUUUGGGGAAAUACAAGCGUGCAUGUCCUUCUUUUGUUUCUUGUUUUGAAAUUUUGUUUUAUCUUCAUCUUCUAUGAAGGUGGAGGUGUUCUCUGGAGGUGGAGGUG